rnacentral:lncRNA from 1 species
CAAGAAUCAUAUAAAAUGACAUAGAGGUUGAAUUCAUGUCCGAAUUAUCUGUAUUGAAGUACAAAUAGAGUAGUGGGGGUAUACCAAAGAAACGAAGGGGGAGAGACAUGGUGGGGAUAAGGAUCGUCAACUAUUUUGGAGGCUUUAUAAUGUCUUCUUUAUUCUUUUUCAGGGACAUUAGGCAAUAGGCAGAGCUAAAAAUCAAGUGGGUUUGUACAAAUUGUUCGAAAAGGGGAACACCUCCCGGACUCUCUAUUCAAACCAACCGAGUGGUAAAAAAGAGCAAUAAUUUCCUACUCAUUUGGGACAACCCUCUUAGUGCAUAUCUUCAUUAGGAUUAUGGUCAACUUCUACUUUUUAUUAUUUGACUCCUUUUUUGACUCUCUCGCUUCUUGCUUGGCUGGCAAUAAUUUCCCUUCUUGAUCGGAAAGAAAUUGAAGGAACAAAUCAGGGUAAUUAGACAGGCUUUAAAUGGAGCCAAAGAAGAACAAAGAAUCCACCAAAUGUAACGAGUAUUCUUCCUUCUUCUUAUUCCAUCGUACGGCGUGCAACUGUUUACGUGACGACGUACCAUUGCAUAUCAACUUCAUUUUAUGCGUCGAACUUAUUCACUACUAAUAAUAUACAUCAAUCUCACAAUCCUUUUCUCAUAUUGAAUCAAAUGGGAGAGAGGUGCUUUUGUUAGGCAGCUAAUAUGGGACCCUAAUUUCAUAUUCUACCUAAUUCUAUAUUCU